GUCUAGCUGAAGGGUCCAAAUUAGGACGAAAGCUCGUCCUGGAC
rnacentral:hammerhead_ribozyme from 1 species